rnacentral:lncRNA from 1 species
CCUUUACAACAGGAAAAGGUGGCAGGGCUGAAAUUUCUUGACAUAUCCCCUUGAAGUAGUUUGCAUGUUAUUAAUUGUAUGCUUCUCACAUUUAAAGGGUCUAAAAGGUCAUCUUUGGGGAAUCCGCUGCUGCUCCUCCUGAAACUUGAGGCCUGAUGAGAUGGAGCUGUGGCUCUGACAUGAGAAUACAAAGACUGUGGAAAAGAUUCAUUUUGACUGACCUGCCUUGAAUUCUAAAAAAGCAAAUUCCUGAGGUCGUCUGAAUUUGAGAGAAAUAACUGUUUCAGAAUUUAAAACAUGAAUCCUUCCAUCGGCUGUUGGACAGAUGAGAGAAGAGGAGCCUCUUCUUAUUUUGAUGUAAAUCAAGACCCAAGCCAGCACUGCUUAGAACCAAAAAUGCUGGAAUGGAUUCUUUUAAAGGUCACUCCAAAGGUCACAGAGUGACCCAUCAUGCUGGGACUGAAUACCUUUAUAGAUGAGAGAGAGAGACCUUCCCAAUCGAAGAACUACACAGAACUACGAAAGCUGGUAGAAAAGGGAUGUCUGCCUGAGAUUAUCAGCACCACAGUCAUCGGAACAAAACCAAGGUUUAUUAAACCCAGACAGAACAUGAAAUCCAAGAGAGAGAAUCAGUUUGCAUAACAAAUCUCAUGAGAUUUGCAUUUCCCAUAAACUAAGCAAGGUAAGACAUUCUCAGCUCAAGUGCCAAGAGAGAAGAAAAGCCUCUGCGCAGCGAUGGCAGUUCUGUGUCUCGCAUCAGCUUGGGGCCUUCUG